AGUAACGAGAGUAAUUUAACUCUAGAUCUAGAGCAAGUUAACAGUUACCCUCUAAUUUGUGGUACAGCUAGCGAACCUAAAAGCAGGCUAUCGGCUUGUAUUGACACCUGCGCACACGCAGUGAGAAUUAGUAUUGUUAGACACGUGCGCAGUGGCCGAUAUUACAUGCAACAAUGAGUGCACUUCUCAGAAGUUUGUCAGCAAACCAAUAUUUGGGAAAAUGCAGCGAUGCAACUUUAAAGGUGUUGUCAGCCCGAUGCCGACACGGUUAUUGACUUUCUUUAAAUUUUUUGCUGGUUUUUUUUUUAGCUUUAAAUAGUUCAUGUUGGAAGUCGUGGUGGCCAAGUGGGCAAAGAACCAACCUCUCGAGUAUGAGGGCGCGGGUUCGAUUCCAGGUCAGGCAAGUACCAAUGCAACUUUUCUAAGUUUGUAUGUACUUUCUAAGUAUAUCUUAGACACCAUGGACUGUGUUUCGGAUGGCACGUUAAACUGUAGGUCCCGGCUGUCAUUGAACAUCCUUGGCAGUCGUUACGGGUAGUCAGAAGCCAGUAAGUCUGACACCAGUCUAACCAAGGGGUAUCGGGUUGCCCGGGUAACUGGGUUGAGGAGGUCAGAUAG
rnacentral:lncRNA from 1 species